rnacentral:rRNA from 1 species
UACAGAGGGUGCGAGCGUUACUCGGAAUUACUGGGCGUAAAGCGCGCGUAGGCGGCUUUGCAAGUCGGGUGUGAAAUCCCCAGGCUUAACCUGGGAACUGCAUUCGAGACUGCAUUGCUAGAGUAUGGGAGAGGGAAGUGGAAUUUCCGGUGUAGCGGUGAAAUGCGUAGAUAUCGGAAGGAACAUCAGUGGCGAAAGCGGCUUCCUGGACCAGUACCGACGUUCAGGCACGAAAGCGUGGGGAGCAAACAGG